GGAGUCUCAUUCUGUUGCCCAGGCUGGAGUGCAGUGGCAUGAUUUCAGCUCACUGCAACCUCCACCUCCUGGGUUCAAGCGAUUCUCCUGCCUCAGCCUCCCGGGUAGCUGGGACUACAGGCGCAUGCUGCCACGCCCGGCUAAUUUUUUGUAUUUUAGUAGAGACAGGGUUUCACCGUUGUUGCCCAGGCUGGUCUCGAACUCCUGAGCUCAGGCAAUCCGCCUGCCUCAGCCUCCCAAAGUGCUAGGAUUACAGGCGUGAGCCACGGUGCCAGCCUCCGUCAUAGUUUCUAAAACACCCACACCACAACAGUAAUCUUGACUCAACUUCAGCUCCUCAUCCUGUGUCUAAGCCAAGUUUAGCCGAAGAAAACAUCUGCCGAGAAAGUAAAAACAAAAACAUCUGCCAAAGGCAAGAACCCGGUGGGAAGCCCCCUGAGCCCAGUGGCCUGCAGAGUCUGUUCUAGUGACAAAGCAGGCAACUGGAAGAGAUCAGGGCUGCGAGACAGCGUGGGUGGGUUUUUAUCUGCUGCUUCUGUAAAUUCAUUGCAUGAUACGUCUGUUUUUCAGAGGUCCCAAAGCAAAGAAACAAAGCCCCACAGAGUUCACCCAGAGGGAAGGCCUUCACUGGAUCAGGCUAUAAGAGAAGGACUCUCCCCUGAGAAAGAUAAAUACUUAUUUUGGGGCCGUGUUUAGAGAAAAAGGAAGAACGAUGGCUUUCCCAUAGAAACAUUUACUUAUUUUGUGAUUUGAAAAUGGACUUUUAUGUUUUAGGAAUUAUGUGGAUGGGAUGUUUUCUUGGGUGAUCGAUUUGAAAUUGCAGAGGGGAGCAGGUGCCAUGUGCUGGCAAUGGCCGGCCUUCCUUCCUUCCUUCCUUCCUUCCUUCCUUCCUUCCUUCCUUCCUUCCUUCCUCCAUUCCUCCUACCCCCCGUUUCUUCCUUCUUUCUCUCUCUUUCUUUCCUUUUCUCUUUUUCUUUCUUUUUCUUUCUUUUCUUUCUUUCUUUCUCUCUCUCUCUUUCUCUCUCUCUCUCUUUCAUUUUGUUUGUUUUAAUGAGUGAGAGUAAAGAGAAAGAAAAGAACUGUUUUUAUUUUUUGUCUACCUUUAUUGUAAGGAGAGAGUGAGGAUACCAUGCCACACAUGCAGGGUCCUGAGCAGAGGGCUGCACCCUGCUUAGUUCUAAAGACACCUAGACUUUAUCCUGAAAGCCACUGAGAGGCCCAUAUUUUGAAACACUCAGCCUCUCAGAAGAGGAUAGAAUGGGUUGCCAGUGUAAUAGGGAGAGAAAUCGAACAUAGCUGACUCCAUGUUGCUUCUGACUCCUCAAGCUAACUGCUUUUAGGCACUUCUGCACACGGGCCAAGUUAAUCAUGGAAAGAACUUAGAUUACAGUUUAACUGGAAAGCAAGGAUGAUAAGCGUUCCUUUCCAAAACUAACCUCUGAGGAGAUAAGAAGGGCAUGCACACAAGUAACAAUGUUAUAUUGAAGACUUGUAGGAGCGCUGUGACCUGAGCAAGGACAAAGUUUUGCAAUCUCCUUGGGCCCCUGCUGAUGCCCAAGUGUCUGUGGUCACCAGCCACCCCCCUCACCUCAGUCUCCUCCUUGUUCCCCUUCAGUGUACCCCUUCAAUGUACAAAGAAGCUUGAGAUUCAUGCCUUUAAAGAUGGUUCGUUAGGACAUGGGUCCAGUAUCUUCCUGACUUGCUGGCUCUCCAAAUAAAGAUGCUUUUCUUGCUCU
rnacentral:lncRNA from 1 species